rfam:Felis catus isolate Cinnamon breed Abyssinian chromosome B4, whole genome shotgun sequence.
GCCUGGGUGGCUCAGUCGGUUAAGUGUCUGACUUCAGCUCAGGUUGUGAUCUCAUGGUUUGUGGGUUCAAGCCCACAUUAGGCU